rnacentral:lncRNA from 1 species
GUGGAAGCUCUCUGCUGGGUAGGGUUUCAUUUUCAUUUUGUGUUUCCUUCCUCUUGGAGCCCGUGCGGGCUGGUGGGGCGGCUCACUGUCAGCUCCGUGAUCCCGCGCUUGGCCGCGCGCCUGGAGAGGUGCGCCCGGGCCAGGAGCAGAGCAGGGCGCGGCGCCAGGCGGGGGCGCCCGGGGCCUGCGUGUCGUCGCGGGUGGGGGCGGGUGUCCUCGGGCGCGCACCCGCUGCGGCUGGUGUAUUGUAAGCACAAUCCCAAGGAAAUUAGUAUUAAAUAUUGUGAUCUUCAUUUCAAGAUAGAAGGGCUGGGCACGUUCCACCAAACUGGAGGUAUGUUUCCAUAGGGAAGGAGAAAAAUUCAUGGUGUAAUACAAUAUUAAAAAUGUCACCCAGCUGAGCAUUCCAUGUAGAAGCUUGUGUAGAGUUUUAAUCUCUUCACCUGUUGGUGAAAUUAGAUAGUUAUGGUGGCUGUCCUUGGUGUCACUUGGUGUAUAUGCUAAAAAACACUAAAUCGUGCACUUUAAAAGAGUGAAUUUUAUAGUAUGUGAAUUAUAUCUCAAUUAAGCUCUUACAAAAAAUAAAACUGUGAGUAGGAGGCAUUUUUAAGAGGUAACAAUAUAUAUUUCCAUCAAUACAUUGCUGAGUUCUCAUACAGCCAUAGAUAAUUGACAGAUUAGUAUAGUACAAAUAAUAUAAAAUUUGGGGUGUAAUGGCUUAAAUUUGAACCCUAGCUUUAUUACUUACUGGAUGCAUGAUGGUCUUGAACAAUUUUUUUUUUGAGACAGUGUCUCACUCUGUCACCCAGGCUGGAGUGCUGUCGCACCAUCACAGCCCUCUGAAGCCUUGAACUCUAAGGCUUAACCAAUCCUUUCGCCUCAGCCUCCUGAGUAGCUGGGACCACGGGUGCAUGCCACCAUGCCCAGUUAGUUUUUAAAUUUUUAUCGAGAUGAGGUCUUGCUAUGUUGCCCACUCUGGUCUUGAAAUCCUGUGCUCAAAGGAUCCUCCUGCCUCUGCCUCCCAAAGUGCUGGGAUUAUAGGCGUAAGCCAAUCUUGAGCAAUUUAACUCUUCUCAGCUCAUUGAUAGUAU